rnacentral:rRNA from 1 species
ACGGGUGCGGAACACGUACGCAACCUUCCUUUAAGUGAGGGAUAGCUUUCGGAAACGAAAAUUAAUACCUCGUAAGAUUGUGAGAUGGCAUCAUCUUAUAAUUAUAGCUCCGGCGCUUAAAGAUGGGCGUGCGCCUGAUUAGGUAGUUGGCGGAGUAACAGCCCACCAAGCCUACGAUCAGUAACUGGUGUGAGAGCACGACCAGUCACACGGGCACUGAGACACGGGCCCGACUCCUACGGGAGGCAGCAGUAAGGAAUAUUGGUCAAUGGACGCAAGUCUGAACCAGCCAUGCCGCGUGGAGGAUGAAGGUCCUCUGGAUUGUAAACUUCUUUUAUCGGAGAAGAAACCCCGGAAUUCUUUCUGGGUUGACGGUACCCGAUGAAUAAGCACCGGCUAACUCCGUGCCAGCAGCCGCGGUAAUACGGAGGGUGCAAGCGUUAUCCGGAUUCACUGGGUUUAAAGGGUGCGUAGGUGGGUUGGUAAGUCAGUGGUGAAAUCUCCAAGCUUAACUUGGAAACUGCCGUUGAUACUAUCAAUCUUGAAUCUCGUGGAGGUAAGCGGAGUAUGUCAUGUAGC